AGGAAAGUGAAUCAGACAAACCAAAAGUGUUUGAAAAUGCAGCAAUUAGUGUACUGCAAUAUAUAGAUAUAGGGGCCAUAGGGGCAGUAAUUGGUGCAGGGAAUAGAGGCGGUACUGAGUGCAGGUGUUAAUAAGGACUUUAGUGGCGACAGAAGGUACAGGGUCAAAAAUGGGCUAUAAUGUGUACAGGAGAGGGAUAGGGGCUGUAGUAG